rnacentral:rRNA from 1 species
CGCCAGAGAACUACGAGCAAAACGCUUGAAACUCUAAGGACUUGGCGGUACCUCAAACCCCCCUAGAGGAGCCUGUUCUAUAAUCGAUAAUCCACGAUUCACCUCACCAUCUCUUGCCAAUCCCGCCUAUAUACCACCGUCACCAGCUUACCCCGUGAGGUAAAAAAGUAAGCAAAAUAACCCACAACUAGCAAUUCAGGUCAAGGUGUAGCUAAUUGAGAUGGAAGAAAUGGGCUACAUUUUCUAUAUUAGAAAUCAGUACACAGGAAGGAGACUAUGAAACAAGUCCCACAAGUAGGAUUUAGCAGUAAACUGGG